GGGGAAUCUUCCGCAAUGGGCGCAAGCCUGACGGAGCAACGCCGCGUGAGUGAAGAAGGUCUUCGGAUCGUAAGGCUCUGUUGACGGGGACGAACGUGCGGAGUGCGAAUAGCGCUUUGUAAUGACGGUACCUGUCGAGGAAGCCACGGCUAACUACGUGCCAGCAGCCGCGGUAAUACGUAGGUGGCGAGCGUUGUCCGGAAUCAUUGGGCGUAAAGGGAGCGCAGGCGGGCCGGUAAGUCUUACUUAAAAGUGCGGGGCUCAACCCCGUGAUGGGAGAGAAACUAUCGGUCUUGAGUACAGGAGAGGAAAGCGGAAUUCCCAGUGUAGCGGUGAAAUGCGUAGAUAUUGGGAAGAACACCAGUGGCGAAGGCGGCUUUCUGGACUGCAACUGACGCUGAGGCUCGAAAGCCAGGGGAGCGAACGGGAUUAGAUACCCCGGUAGUCCUGGCCGUAAACGAUGGAUACUAGGUGUGGGAGGUAUCGACCCCUACCGUGCCGGAGUUAACGCAAUAAGUAUCCCGCCUGGGGAGUACGGCCGCAUGGCUG
rnacentral:rRNA from 1 species